rnacentral:rRNA from 1 species
UACGGAGGGUGCGAGCGUUGUCCGGAAUCACUGGGCGUAAAGGGCGCGUAGGCGGCUCAUGAAGGCUGUGGUGAAAGUCCGGGGCUCAACCUCGGAUCGGCCGUGGCGACUCGUGGGCUGGAGCACUGUAGAGGCGGGUGGAAUUCCGGGUGUAGGGGUGGAAUGCGUAGAGAUCCGGAAGAACACCAGUGGCGAAGGCGGCCCGCUGGGCAGUGGCUGACGCUGAAGCGCGACAGCGUGGGGAGCAAACAGG